rnacentral:lncRNA from 1 species
AAAUCACUAGAUGCCUAGCAGCAUCGCAGGAGGAGCUGGUGUUGCCUGUUACAAGCUAGUUCAAUCAUAAGCUAGUCCUCCAAAGCUAUAUGGCAAAGUCUUUAAUUCUUUUUUUCUUCCACCUGAUUAUUUUAAGGCAUGGGAAUUUUAUAAACUCCCUGUUUCCGCUUCUCCAUGUAACAAUUUGCACUGAAACCUGAGGUUUUCACUUCUAGAGCAGAGUCAUUUUAAAAAACAGGUCUUCUGUCCUUUUCCAGAAAUGGCAGCUAAUCCUGAGUCAAUCUGCUGGAACUUAAAAGUUUUAUAUUAUUCUUUGGGGAAAGAAAUCCCUGACCUCUGCAUACCCGCCAGAUCAGAAGUCCCUCCAAGGAUACAUUUCUGCUUGAUGCAGUGAUUAACAUGGAGUUAAUUCUCAGCACACUAGCCUCCAUGGUGUUUCUCUAAAUGCCAAACCCAGCUUCCCUGAGAGUCUUUUCACUUGCUGCUUCUCUGCCUGAAGACUUUUUCCCUGAGACAUCUACACGGCUCCCUCUCUCCCUUCUCAUCGGAAGAAGUGUAACUUCUAAGCAGAGAUGGUCCCAGGAAAACUGUGAGGGAACAAAGAUUCCGCCUCAUCUGCCUUCAAACUCUCCUUUAUCCCAG